ensembl:lncRNA
GAUUUGCAGCUGGGAGAUUAACUUGUUCAGUUACCCCGGGAUCAUUUUAUCUGCAGUUCAUGAAGAGGGCCCAUUCCAGUGUUUGCUACCCACAUCAUUUCUGCUUUAGAGCAGUGGGAAGCUGCUGGAGCCUCAGAGCGGGAGACUUUCCCAUUGACCAGCUCUCCAAGGAGUUAGAGGGAAUUGUAUCCUGAGCUGAGACCAGAGCAGUGGCGGAGCUGGGGAGUUGCCGGUGUGCCUAGAGACACCAGGUUAUUUUCACAUUUUGGCUAUGGUGAAUGAAGAUCUCCUGGAGUAGAAAUGGCAACCCACUCCAGUAUUCUUGCCUGGAAAAUUCCAUGGACAGAGGAACCUGGUGGGCUACAAUCCAUGGGGUUGCAAAGAAUCAGACACGACUGAGCAACUGAGCACACACUCUAACGAGAUGCAGAUUUGAUCCUUGGUCAGGAAGGUUCCCUGGAGAAGAGAAUGAAUGGCAACCCACUCCAGUAUUCUUGCCUGGGAAAUCCCAC